AUACGGAGGAUGCGAGCGUUAUCCGGAUUUAUUGGGUUUAAAGGGUGCGCAGGCGGGCGAUUAAGUCAGCGGUGAAAGGCUCGGGCUCAACCGGAGCAGUGCCGUUGAUACUGGUUGUCUUGAAUGCGGUCAAGGCCGGCGGAAUGUGGCGUGUAGCGGUGAAAUGCAUAGAUAUGCCACAGAACACCGAUAGCGAAGGCAGCUGGCCGGGCCUGCAUUGACGCUGAGGCACGAAAGCGUGGGGAUCGAACAGGAUUAGAUACCCUGGUAGUCCACGCUGUAAACGAUGGACACUCGUUGUCGGCGACAGACAGUCGGCGGCCAAGCGAAAGUGAUAAGUGUCCCACCUGGGGAGUACGGUCGCAAGGCUGAAACUUAAAGGAAUGGGCGGGG
rnacentral:rRNA from 1 species